UCACUGAUGGUGUCUGUUUGUCCAGACAGCU
rnacentral:piRNA from 1 species